CUGUUUUCUUCCCUUGUCCGCCUCAACUUGCUUUGAGAUACUGAAAUGUGAGAGGCAUGGGGGAGGCCGAGAGUCCAUGUUGCUUUCCACGGGAAAUUCGAAUUCCUCUUAGUGUUUCCCACGCAUGGACUGGGAGAACCUGAUCAGCAGCUCGGAGCUUUGCAGCCUGGAGCAUACGUGGCACCCGGCAUUGUUGCUUCCCUGGAAGAGGUUUGGAGAGAGCUGGGUGAGGCCUGUUCUAGGACUAGGUAGGGCCUUCCCACUGCCUGCUCUGGCUGGGUGCUUGAUGGGCAUUCAUUGUAUUAUGAGGCUAAGGGUUGGGGGAAGAGGAUCCUUGAAAUUGUGUAUAUGCAUGUGUGCUCAGCUGUGUCCGACUCUGCGACCCCAUGGACUUUAGCCCACCAGGUUCCUCCGUCCAGGAGAUUUCCCAGGCAAGAAUACUGGAAUGCGUGGCCAUUUCCUUCGCCAGGGGAUCUUCCCCACCCAGGGAUUG
rnacentral:lncRNA from 1 species